GGCCCGUUAGCUCAGUUGGUUAGAGCGUCGUGCUAAUAACGCGAAGGUCGUGGGUUCGAUCCCCCUACGGGCCA
rfam:Helobdella robusta unplaced genomic scaffold HELROscaffold_2, whole genome shotgun sequence.